rnacentral:rRNA from 1 species
GACGAACGCUGGCGGCGUGCUUAACACAUGCAAGUCGAGCGGAGCGGCGAACGGGUGAGUAACGCGUGAGUAACUGCCCCCCUCUCUGGGAUCACAGUUGGAAACGGCUGCUAAUACCGGAUAGUGGGGGAUGACUCGCGUCCUAUCAGCUUGUUGGUGGGGUAGUGGCCUCCCAAGGGGACGACGGGUUGCCGGCCUGAGAGGGCGACCGGCCACAUGGGUCUGAGAGACGGCCCAAACGCCAACGGGAGGCAGCAGUGGGGAAUAUUGCACAAUGGUGGAAACCGUGAUGCAGCAACGCCGCGUGCGUGAUGAAGGUCUUCGGGUUGUAAACCGGUUUCAGCCAUUACGCGGUAGUCGCAGAAGAAGCACCGGCUAACUACGUGCCAGCAGCCGCGGUAAUAC